GCCGAAGGUGGGGCUACAGUAAGGGGUAGGAAAGGGGAAGAAGAUAUGAUCCAGUUGUCUCCUAUGAAAAGACCAAUUCUGCCAGCAAAACGUAGGAUUACCAGACAAUGGACUAGCACUUUACAAAGUGUAAAGGCAUUUUGGAGACACAGGCUGGGAAGAGUCUGGACAAGGCAAGGAGAGACUUGAGCCCAGGAGUGGAUCAAGAGGAAGAUGUGGAUGGUGCUUCUGCAAGGCACGG
rnacentral:lncRNA from 1 species